rnacentral:siRNA from 1 species
GAAGCAAGACACGUUAAAUCAUA